rnacentral:lncRNA from 1 species
UCCUUCUAGAAAGUUGUGGACUUGGACGAGCAAUUGUGGUGGAAAUCUUUCUAGGAAGAUCUUCCUCAGCCUCACUAUCCUCUGAAUUAAAGAAAAAUGCAGACAUUGAGCUUGUCUUUCCUUGGGAGACUGAUUUCUGAUGGUACAGGUCUUGGCCACUACUGCUAAGAGUUUCAUGUGACAGUUCAUCCUCUGAAGAAUCAUCAGGUACUACUGAAGAGACCGAUUUCUGAUUGUACAGGUCUUGGCGACUACUGCUUAGAGUUUCAUGUGAGAGUUCAUCAUCUGAAGAAUCAUCAAAAGGAGCGACAUCUGUGACAGGGGUUUUAGUGCUUCGUUCCUUAUUUAGCUUAGUGCUCCCUUUCCGGGUAUAUGGCCCUUCACU